AUUGAACGCUGGCGGCAUGCCUUACACAUGCAAGUCGAACGGUAACGGGCCUUCGGGUGCCGACGAGUGGCGAACGGGUGAGUAAUACAUCGGAGCGUGCCCGAUCGUGGGGGAUAACGAGGCGAAAGCUUUGCUAAUACCGCAUACGAUCUACGGAUGAAAGCAGGGGACCGCAAGGCCUUGCGCGGACGGAGCGGCCGAUGGCAGAUUAGGUAGUUGGUGGGAUAAAAGCUUACCAAGCCGACGAUCUGUAGCUGGUCUGAGAGGAUGAUCAGCCACACUGGGACUGAGACACGGCCCAGACUCCUACGGGAGGCAGCAGUGGGGAAUUUUGGACAAUGGGCGCAAGCCUGAUCCAGCCAUGCCGCGUGCAGGAUGAAGGCCUUCGGGUUGUAAACUGCUUUUGUACGGAACGAAAAGCCUUCUUUUAAUACAGGAGGGUCAUGACGGUACCGUAAGAAUAAGCACCGGCUAACUACGUG
rnacentral:rRNA from 1 species